GAGAGGAUAUCUCUCUGUCAAGUAAAACCAAACCCAGAAAUGGUAGGGUACAUUGGAUCGUCGAGACCUACCUCCUCCAGGCAAAUGGAGAAUCUGCAGGUGUGCUCCAUUUUAUGUUCCCAGGUCUGGCAAUCUCGAUCAUUGGCUAGAUGCACCAUGCAGGGGAUCUCACAGCCAAAGGAGAUUUGCUUCAGCUUAAAAUUCAUAUGGUGCCAUAACAAUGCCAUUAAGUUGCUCUGGAUUUUUGGAAAACCUCUCCUUGGCGUUUCAUCUUCUUGCCAGCUACAGAUCUUAUUGUGGCUCCUUGACCACUAGGACUUGGUAUGACAGGACUACAUGUGGCCACAGAGUAAAGGGAAGACGUAGGGUAGACAUGAACAGUGAUGAAACUGUGAAAGCUGUGAUCUCAAAGUUGGAUGGUCCGUCCACAGUGACCCCAAACUUCCCUGCUGGUGGUGGCACAGGAGUGAUAAGGAAGACCUUCAAGCAGGCACCAAGUUUUCCAGGGCUGUAUCAGCUGAGGCUUUCUGGCUGAUUCUCCGCCUCCCAUUUCAAUUCUGCUCAAAAUCCAUCUCCGCCAACUCUAUCCACAGAGUGGAAAGUGUGGAAAAUGGUUGGCCUGAACUUACCCAGGAAAUAAGCUGUGAGUGACUGAUCUAUGUUAUCCUGAGUCCUCCUCAGAGCUACAACCCAGUAACCAGCUGGGAGCAGAGCAGCAACACCAGGUUGCUGCAUCUUGGCAAUCAGAGUGGAAGAGCAACUUCUCCUUCCUGCUACCGAAUUCAUUAUUGCCUAUUUAAUCACUUCUUCAUUGAUUAAUCCAAAGUGUUGGAAAUGUGUUUUGUCUGUCACGUAGAAUUCCAUAAAGAAUUUCUG
rnacentral:lncRNA from 1 species